rnacentral:rRNA from 1 species
GCUCUUUUGGAAAAACAGUGUUGGAGGCUUUUGUGCGAACUGGAAUCAUUAUGUGCCAGAGUAUUGAAAGCAAAGUAUUCCUCCGAUGGUGACCUUCUGAACUAUACGUUGAAAAAGGGUAGUUCAUAUACUUGGCAGAGUCUCUGGAGUGGAAUUUAGUCCUUUGAAAGAGGACACAUUUGGAGAGUAGGAGAUGGAUCACAGAUUAAUAUCUGGGAGGACCCUUGGAUUCCCAGCAGCCCGACCCACAGAGUUCUUACACCAAGGGGAAAUAUAGUGAUCACAAGAGUUUAUGAACUAAUUGAUUCGGAAAACAGAGUGUGGAAUGAACAAUUGCGAUUUUUUUGGCCAAUUGAUGUGGAGCGUAUUAUGAAUAUCCCUCUAGCUUUGAGAAUGAUGGAAGAUUUUGUAUCAUGGCACUUCAAUAGAAGUGGAAUUUUCUCAGUAAGAUCGGCUUACCAUGAAGGGUGGGAGCACCAGCAUGGACAAAAGUUGAGGACGACAAACUCAUUACAAGCCUCAAGUACCAUUUGGAAAUUGCGUGUGCCAUCAAAAAUCAAAAUCCAUGUUUGGAGGACUUUGCUUGGAGCUAUUCCUUGCCGUGGUGUUUUAGGAAACAGACAUAUGAUUACAAGUUCCUAGUGUCCCCUUUGUAGUUCGGACUGUAAGAGCAUUAGGCAUGCCAUGUUUUUGUGCCCGAGGGUGCAGGAAAUUUGGUGAAUUCUUGGACUACAGGAGCUAGUGAAUGAAAUAUGCACAGUAGAGAGAGAUGGAGGUUCGGCGCUGGCCGAUCUCCUACUAUCCAAAAGUACCAUAUGUCCACUGGUGGCUGAUGUCCAGCGCAAUGAUCUUGUGUCCACAACAAUCUGA